UAAGCAUCUUCUUACUAUGGUGAACCAAAAUAUACUCAAGGAUAAAACAUCUAGUGGUAUGCAGGGUGUAAACAACGAAUGGUGCACACUUCUUCACCUUCUUAGCUGUUGUCUUCUUUCACAAGCACAUCUUCAAUCAUCAUGGGGUUCUACUAAAAAGAAAGUUAAUCAAACCAUUUCUUGCUUUUUUUAGGUUAAUUCAUUCGGAAUCUAACACAUCUGGAAGAAGGUCGUGGAUACUUUCAUUUGGACUUGGUUAUACAAAUAGGUUAUAUAGUUAGGGAAAACCUCUUAAUAGCAAUGUAUAAUUAGGUCCCCUUUAUACCAAUGUAUUACAAUGUAUUGUAUUUUUGUAUGACAUUAACUCUUGUGCAAUGUAUUAUAUUUUUUG